rnacentral:rRNA from 1 species
GAUGAACGCUGACGGCGUGCCUAAUACAUGCAAGUCGAGCGAAAGGACGAGUAGCUUUCUUCUCUGAUGUUAGCGGCGCACGUGUGUGUAACAUGUGGAUAACCUACCUAUAAGACUGGGAAAACUUCGGGAAACCGGCUCUAAUACCGUAUAAUAUUUUGAACCGCAUGGUUUAUAAGUGAAAGACGGUCUUGCUGUCACUUAUCGAUGGAUCCGCGCUGCAUUAGAUAGUUGGUAAGGUAACGGCUUACCAAGGCAACGAUGCAUAGCCGACCUGAGAGGGUGAUCAGCCACACUGGACCUGAGACACGGUCCAGACUCCUAUGGGAGGCAGCAGUAGGGAAUGUUACACAAUGGGCGAAAGCCUGACGGAGCACCGCCGAGUCAGGGAUGAAGGUCUUCGGAUCGUAAAACUCUGUUAUUAGGGAAGAACAUAUGUGUAAGUAACUGUGCACAUCUUGACGGUACCUAGUCAGAAAGCAACGGCUAACUACGUG